GUGGAAAUGUUCAUUGCCGUGUUCGUCAGGAACAUCUGCAUCAGAGCGGCCGUACUUCCCCAUGAUGAAGGCGACUGCUGCUGAAGUGCUCCUGGACAAGGAACUUUACUCCAGCAGGGCUUCGUAACAGAUACAGACCCCUCCUGGGAGGAUAAGAUGUCAUCCCACUGCCAAGAUUUAUCGCAAUCCUCCUUGCUCUCAUUGUUCUUAAUCACUUAUAAUUAAACAAAAUUCUUGUUAAAGUGCAAUUUGUGAGUUUAUUUGUUUUUUAUUGGGAAAUAACUGUAGAAGUAUCCUCUAGUUUGUUGUUUUGGAGCAUUUUAAGCUUUGGAGACAGUGUUUAUGGUAAUAAUAGUGUGUGGGAUUAAUGUGAAGAAACAUGGUGAGACUGACUGCAAAGAAACAGAUUGCCUGCAUCUCUAACCUUUGUCUAAGCUGCAGAG